GGACUGUCCAUGUUCAUGGGAACUGAGAGCCAACCGAGAGCCAGGAAGAUCGGGCAAACCACUCUUCCACUGACCGCAGCACCAUGCAUGGUCCAUAGAGAGAGACACAUGCUGAUGAGGGAGAUUUAAGAAGGCAUGGAAGGCCUGAUUCGGUGAUGAAUGGCAAGCCGCUACCCCGCUGAAAUGUCAAGUAUCUGGAAAGCUUGUCUUUAUGAUUUUUUUUUUCUACCAGACAAGAAAUAAAUGCAAGAAAAUUGUUUGAGGAAAAUAAGUUUGCUCAUGCAGUGUUCAAGUCGAUUUUACAACUGUAAGUCAAGAAUAGCAUCGUUUUUCAUCUGUGAAAUCAGACAGUCUCCCAGUCUAAAAAUCUCUGUCACUAUCUCUCACAAAUGCAAAGCAGGAAGAAACAUCUAUAACAGAGCAUGCCCUCUGUGACAGACUCCUGAUCCCCUUCUCUUCUGCCUCGGUGGAGUAGCUAUGUUCUCCUGAUCACGAAUGAGCAGAAAGCGCUUUAUCAUCUUUUGUCUUGUUUUCAUCCUGCCCUGAAGAAGAAAAGAGACAAGAUAAAGGAAGUGGCUGCAGCUACCCGACGAUGCUCCGUUGACUCCUGUAAAAAUAACUGUUUCCAGGUCAAUACAUCUCUACUCUCCCUCCAUAAAAGAGAAGGAGCUGUAAAUAACACGGUGUGGAGACAUGUGUGGUACCCACCUGACCCAGUGUUGUCUUCGAAAUGCAUUCUGCCGAGUUCCUACUUGGGCUCCUCAUGAAGCCAAGUCGUCAUUAACACCUACAUGGUCUGAAAACACAAACCACGAGAAGCAAGAGCUAUCAAGUGUACAUAGAUCUGGGGGGCAAGGGGAGGACAAGGUAUUGGCUUAGUGUGUGAGGUUCUGAGCCCGUGGGUCUGUUUGUACUAUGUCCUGAGUCUAAGGUCCUGUAACUGUACCUUCCUGUCCUGAGUCAUUUGUAUCUCUUGGCUUUGUAAUAAACGCUGCACACAAAAAAGAAAAAAAG
ensembl:lncRNA